rnacentral:misc_RNA from 1 species
CCGAGUGAAGGCCUCCGGGCCCGACCUCCAACCCUUUUGAAGUUACCAACUCUGUUGCCUCGGGGGCGAACCGGUCCUUCGCGUCCGGCGCCCCCGGUGGACCACACCACUCUGCGUAACUGCGUCGGAGUUCGAGGGGAAUUUGAAUCA